GACGAACGCUGGCGGCGUGCUUAACACAUGCAAGUCGAACGGUAAGGCCCUUUCGGGGGUACACGAGUGGCGAACGGGUGAGUAACACGUGGGUGAUCUGCCCUGCACUUUGGGAUAAGCCUGGGAAACUGGGUCUAAUACCGGAUAGGACUACGCGAUGCAUGUCGUGUGGUGGAAAGCUUUUGCGGUGUGGGAUGGGCCCGCGGCCUAUCAGCUUGUUGGUGGGGUGAUGGCCUACCAAGGCGACGACGGGUAGCCGGCCUGAGAGGGUGUCCGGCCACACUGGGACUGAGAUACGGCCCAGACUCCUACGGGAGGCAGCAGUGGGGAAUAUUGCACAAUGGGCGCAAGCCUGAUGCAGCGACGCCGCGUGGGGGAUGACGGCCUUCGGGUUGUAAACCCCUUUCAGCACAGACGAAGCGUAAGUGACGGUAGGUGCAGAAGAAGCGCCGGCCAACUACGUG
rnacentral:rRNA from 1 species